rnacentral:rRNA from 1 species
GAAUGCGAUCAUACCAGCACUAACGCACCUGA